rfam:TPA: Bos taurus chromosome 9, whole genome shotgun sequence.
UCCCUAGUAGUUCAGUUGGUAAAGAAUCUGCCUGCAAUACAGGAAACCCUGGUUCGAUUCCUGGGUUGGGAA